UAAAACCUGUAAAACUAAUUACAUCCUCCGAAUGCAACUCA
rnacentral:tRNA from 1 species